rnacentral:rRNA from 1 species
UACGUAGGGGGCAAGCGUUAUCCGGAUUCAUUGGGCGUAAAGAGCGCGUAGGCGGAUUGUUAAGUCAGAUGUGAAAACCGGGGGCUCAACCCGCGGCCUGCAUCUGAAACUGGCAGUCUUGAGUCUGGUAGAGGAAAGUGGAAUUCCUGGUGUAGCGGUGAAAUGCGCAGAUAUCAGGAGGAACACCAGUGGCGAAGGCGGCUUUCUGGGCCACGACUGACGCUGAGGCGCGAAAGCUAGGGGAGCGAACAGG